rnacentral:rRNA from 1 species
GGGAAAUCUGCCGAGUAGCGGGGGACAACGUUUGGAAACGAACGCUAAUACCGCAUAACAAUGAGAAUCGCAUGAUUCUUAUUUAAAAGAAGCAAUUGCUUCACUACUUGAUGAUCCCGCGUUGUAUUAGCUAGUUGGUAGUGUAAAGGACUACCAAGGCGAUGAUACAUAGCCGACCUGAGAGGGUGAUCGGCCACACUGGGACUGAGACACGGCCCAGACUCCUACGGGAGGCAGCAGUAGGGAAUCUUCGGCAAUGGGGGCAACCCUGACCGAGCAACGCCGCGUGAGUGAAGAAGGUUUUCGGAUCGUAAAACUCUGUUGUUAGAGAAGAACGUUAAGUAGAGUGGAAAAUUACUUAAGUGACGGUAUCUAACCAGAAAGGGACGGCUAACUACGUGCCAGCAGCCGCGGUAAUACGUAGGUCCCAAGCGUUGUCCGGAUUUAUUGGGCGUAAAGCGAGCGCAGGUGGUUUCUUAAGUCUGAUGUAAAAGGCAGUGGCUCAACCAUUGUGUGCAUUGGAAACUGGGAGACUUGAGUGCAGGAGAGGAGAGUGGAAUUCCAUGU